rnacentral:rRNA from 1 species
AAUGAACGUUGGCGGCGUGGAUUAGGCAUGCAAGUCGUGCGAGAAGUGUUUUUUGCUUGCAUUAAACAUGGACAGCGGCGAAAGGGAGAGUAACGCGUGGGUAACCUGCCCCUGGAUCUGGGAUAGCUGCGGGAAACUGCAGGUAAUACCGGAUAAUGUCCCCGGACCAAAGGUGUGAUUCCGUCCAGGGAUGGGCCCGCGUCCUAUUAGCUUGUUGGUGGGGUAACGGCCUACCAAGGCGAAGAUGGGUACCGGGUGUGAGAGCAUGGCCCGGCUCACUGGGACUGAGACACUGCCCAGACACCUACGGGUGGCUGCAGUCGAGAAUCUUCCACAAUGGACGCAAGUCUGAUGGAGCGACGCCGCGUGCGGGAUGAAGGCCCUCGGGUUGUAAACCGCUGUCAGUUGGGAGGAAAUCCUUGGGGGUUCUCCCCCUUGGUUGACCUAUCUUCAGAGGAAGUACGGGCUAAGUUCGUG